CUCCAAUUCAAUAUUCUCCACGAUCGAUCGC
rnacentral:piRNA from 1 species